CCGCACGGGUGAGUAACACGUAUGCAAUCCACCUGUAACAGGGGGAUAACCCGGAGAAAUCCGGACUAAUACCCAUAAUAUGGGCGCUCCGCAUGGAGAGCCCAUUAAAGAGAGCAAUUUUGGUUACAGACGAGCAUGCGCUCCAUUAGCCAGUUGGCGGGGUAACGGCCCACCAAAGCGACGAUGGAUAGGGGUUCUGAGAGGAAGGUCCCCCACAUUGGAACUGAGACACGGUCCAA
rnacentral:rRNA from 1 species